rnacentral:misc_RNA from 1 species
UCCGUGUUAACCACGGCAGUCUCUUUAGAGAGCCCAACUGAAUGCUGGCUUAAUUCGAAGCGACGCGAAGAACCUUACCUGGGCUUGACAUGCGGGGUGAAACCGUAGAGAUACGGCGCUCCUCGGAGCCCGCACAGGUGGUGCAUGGCUGUCGUCAGCUCGUGCCGUGAGGUGUUGCCUUAAGUGGCGCAACGAGCGCAACCCCUGUCCUUAGUUGCCAGCGGGUAAAGCCGGGAACUCUAGGGAGACUGCCGGUGCCAAACCGGAGGAAGGUGGGGAUGACGUGACGCAACUAACCA